rnacentral:rRNA from 1 species
UACGGAGGGCGCGAGCGUUAAUCGGAAUUACUGGGCGUAAAGCGCGCGUAGGCUGUUGUGUAAGUUGGGGGUGAAAUCCCACGGCUCAACCGUGGAACAGCCCUUGAUACUGCGCGACUUGAAUCCGGGAGAGGGUGGCGGAGUUCCAGGUGUAGGAGUGAAAUCCGUAGAUAUCUGGAGGAACAUCAGUGGCGGAGGCGGCCUGCUGGACGAUAACUGACGUUGAGGCUCGAAAGCGUGGGGAGCAAACAGG